UUAAAUUGAAGAGUUUGAUCAUGGCUCAGAUUGAACGCUGGCGGCAGGCCUAACACAUGCAAGUCGAACGGUAACAGGAAGAAGCUUGCUUCUUUGCUGA
rnacentral:rRNA from 1 species